GAUGAACGCUGGCGGCAUGCCUAAGACAUGCAAGUCGAACGGGGUGUACCAUUGAAAGUUGAGUGCUUGCACGAUGCUGGAUUUGGAUUUGCACCUAGUGGCGCACGGGUGAGUAACACGUGGGUAGCCUACCCAUUAGUCUGGGACAACAGUUUGAAACGACAGCUAAUACCGGAUGAUAUGCGAAAUGGUAUCUUUUCGUAUUACAAUGAGCUUUCAAGCUUCGCUUUUAGAUGGGCCUGCGGCGUAUUAGUUAGUUGGUGGGGUAACGGCCUACCAAGACGACGAUGCGUAGCCGAACUGAGAGGUUGAUCGGCCACAUGGGGACUGAGACACGGCCCAAACUCCUACGGGAGACAGCAGUUAGGAAUAUUCGUCAAUGGGGAAACCCUGAACGAGCAAUGCCGCGUGAGUGAUGACGGUCCUAUGGAUUGUAAAACUCUGUUGAGAAGGAAGAAAAACUAUAAUAGGAAAUGAUUAUAGCUUGACGGUACUUCUUUAGAAAGCUCCGGCUAACUACGUGCCAGCCGCCGCCGUAA
rnacentral:rRNA from 1 species